UGGCUGAUUAGAGAAGGGUCUUUUCAACUUCCACGUGUAGCCAGCUCAGAGAAAUUUUGUCUGUUCACCUGAAUGGGAAAAAUGCCUUUGAAGCCCAUUUAUACAAAGGGAAAUAGCUGUAUUUCAAGCAGCUCUAGGAAUGGAACGGAGGGAACUCAUGUGCAUUGUCUACACCUGAUAGUACUGAGAGAAGGGGAAAUCAAUCACAGAGCUGGAGUACUACAGACAAGUCACCUUGUGAUUCUGCCCUGCCCUAGUGUUCCUGAAGGACAGGCACAAAGCCUCUUGCACUGCUUAGCUGGAACAAGUGUCAAGAGAAAAUGAAGUCACAUGCACAGAAGCCAAGCCUCUGGCCCCAACCAAUGGUAAAGGAGGUAAGCAAAGGCCAGAGCCCUUCCAAACGGGCAGAAUACCACCCAGCCUGGUAUUGCAGCUGAUAAAACUUAGGCUGGACAGACCCUUCCUUUCCUCAGAGCUGUCUGGGAUCAGUUUUCAUCCCUCCUCCCUGAUUGAGGGCAGUGACUAAUUCUCUUGACUUUGGAAGUCCUACUCACUGGCUGUUGUGUUUUGGGAAGCAAAGAUGUCUUGGGACAUGGUCUCUCACAGAACUAUUCAAUGAAUAGAUGGGAAGAUACUCCAAAAAAACAGGGAUUUUUGUCCAAAUGUGCUCUGAUUUCACCUUACUUCUCCCAAGGAGACCACCUGCUCCUGAGAGCAGCAAAAGGCAGCAGCCCUGCAGGGCUCUUGCUCGCCCUUAGAGCCCCUAAUUGUCCUCAGAUGAGCCCACCUACUGGUGUUUAAGCUCCAGCUGAGGAGCACAAUCUGCUGUUGCUUCUCCUGCUGGGCUGCUGGGGGAGCUGGGCUUCAUCUCUGGGGCUGACUUCAUGUCUGUUGUCCUGCACAACAUUGUGUGCUGGACCAACAGGUGUAUAAGGAUGGGAUGAUCACCUUCCUGGUGGAAUGCAGAAGUGAAAUAUUGUUAUGAGGCCCUUUUUUGAUUUGUUUUUUUUUACUCUGUAUUUUUUCUUUCUUGCUGAUAAAAAGCUUUUACUGAUGUGGGAUGGCCUGGCCACUGUUGUUACAGGGAUUUGCCUUGUCAGCUUGUGAGCAAUUUGCUUUAGUGAAACUGUUCCUCUGGCCUCGGGUGUGUUAAACUGACAAGAUAAUGUAAAUUAGCCAUAAUUUGUCCUUUCCAGUGGCCCAGGAGGCAAAUUCUCCUUUUGGGGAUUUGUAAUUUCUAGCAUGGAAAGUCUUCUUAUGAGAGCAGCUGGGAUUUUUGGUAGUCUUGACCAAGUUUGGAAAGGUUUGCAUAGCACAAGCAGCA
rnacentral:lncRNA from 1 species